rnacentral:rRNA from 1 species
AUUGAACGCUGGCGGCAUGCUUUACACAUGCAAGUCGAACGGUAACAGGCCGCAAGGUGCUGACGAGUGGCGAACGGGUGAGUAAUGCAUCGGAACGUGCCCAGUCGUGGGGGAUAACGCAGCGAAAGCUGCGCUAAUACCGCAUACGAUCUAUGGAUGAAAGCGGGGGACCGUAAGGCCUCGCGCGAUUGGAGCGGCCGAUGUCAGAUUAGGUAGUUGGUGGGGUAAAGGCUCACCAAGCCAACGAUCUGUAGCUGGUCUGAGAGGACGACCAGCCACACUGGGACUGAGACGCGGCCCAGACUCCUACGGGAGGCAGCAGUGGGGAAUUUUGGACAAUGGAAGCAAGCCUGAUCCAGCAAUGCCGCGUGCAGGAAGAAGGCCUUCGGGUUGUAAACUGCUUUUGUACGGAACGAAACGGCUCUCACUAAUACUGGGGGCUAAUGACGGUACCGUAAGAAUAAGCACCGGCUAAUUACGUGCCAGCCGCCGCGGUAACAC